rnacentral:lncRNA from 1 species
CCAGGAUGCACCACCAAGGAGGCUGGGCUGAGGAGGAGAACCCAGCCUUUCUAAAGCCAAGGCACACCAGAAUUGAGACUAUUUUGGUAGCACCCUGAGGGUGUUGUACGAGGCCCCUGGAGUGUAGAAGGACCCACUGAGGAUCCAGCAACCCUUGACAGAAUGGCCUAAGUUUAGAUAGGACCAGUGCUCUGUCGUGAAUGGAGUGAGAACCAAAACCUCCAGGGUUAAUGAGAGAGCUCAGAACACUGUAUGCAGAACCAUCACUGGGGUACUGGGCCUGGGUUCUUUAAGAAGGCAGGCUGAGAAAGUCAAGGGGAGUUGCCGAUAAAGACCAUCCCUUCAUGACCUCUGUUUCAGUUCCUGCCUUGAGUUCUUGCCCUGGCUUCUCUCAGUGGUGAAUAUGCAUCCAGCGGUGUGUUUCCACGGGGAUUAUAAAUCCAGUCCAGUUGACAAUAAAGGUUAGCCACCACUCGGCCAUCACACUCCCACUUGGCACUUCCUUCCAUUCUGAGCACACCAGAAUCGUCCUUGGGGCUGAUGGCCCCACGAAACAGAAUUGUUCCAGGGACGAAGCCUUUGAUGGAUUGGCUGCUCUGCUGGCUGCUUUGGUAGAAUGGGUCAUAAAUAUUAACAGGCUGACAAACAUGUCAUGUCACACCUGUGACCAAGAAACACCCAGGCUUCUACCACUUUGUUCUUUUGAUAGACACCAUCUCCUUCUCUCCUGAACUUGCUCUGAUGGGUCUAUUCCUCCACCACCCUCCUCAGAGGACCAGGGUUCAGUUCCCAACACCCCUAUCAGGUGACUCACAACUUCCUAUAACUCCAGCUUCAGGGAGAAUCUGAUGCC